UACAGAGGGUCUCAAGCGUUGUUCGGAUUCAUUGGGCGUAAAGGGUGCGUAGGCGGCGCGGUAAGUCGGGUGUGAAAUCUUGGAGCUUAACUCCGAAACUGCAUUCGAUACUGCCGUGCUUGAGGACUGGAGAGGAGACUGGAAUUUACGGUGUAGCGGUGAAAUGCGUAGAUAUCGUAAGGAAGACCAGUGGCGAAGGCGGGUCUCUGGACAGUUCCUGACGCUGAGGCACGAAGGUCAGGGGGAGCAAACGGG
rnacentral:rRNA from 1 species